rnacentral:lncRNA from 1 species
CGGCAUCACCGCGAGCGGCGACACCUACACACGCCAUGCUGCUAAUGGACAGACAUUUAACCACCAACUAAUGAAUACACUCGUAUUGUUCUGAAUCGAGAACGAUACUGAACUGCCCACCACAUAAAGGCGUGUGUUUAGUUUCACGCAGUGCUAGAUGAUAUACCAGGGGUCAGAUAAGGCGCCUUUUCCGCUGGCAUUCCUCAGUGUCGGCCAAUGAGAGAGGGCUGGUUAUUGCACAGGGAAGCGUCCCGCUCACUCUUCGGGGUUCACAGCAGCACAUGGGAUGCCAGGAUGACAUGGCCUGUGUCUUGCUACGAUGUCGGCACGUCGUCAGAAAACUACGACGGUGAUGGUUAAUUCCCUAUGGCGACAAACGGCGCUACACUUCUUCGUCUUGUUGUGUCGAAACCUGGCUUUUGACUGGCCUCAUGGGCAAAAACAACAGUUUCUGGCUAAUAAUUCGAGCUUCACUGUGCAAAUGCUUUUUCCUGACUUACAUUUCUGUUGUCUCUAAGAACCACAAACCCGUGCUAUGAGAGUACGACCAUAUGAACUAUCUAGUUCCG